rnacentral:rRNA from 1 species
UACGGAGGGGGCAAGCGUUGUCCGGAAUCAUUGGGCGUAAAGAGCGUGUAGGCGGCUCGAUAAGUCUGCUGUGAAAGUCCAGGGCUCAACCCUGGAAGGCCGGUGGAAACUGUCGGGCUAGAGUCCGGAAGAGGCGAGUGGAAUUCCCGGUGUAGCGGUGAAAUGCGCAGAUAUCGGGAGGAACACCAAUGGCGAAGGCAGCUCGCUGGGACGGUACUGACGCUGAGACGCGAAAGCGUGGGGAGCGAACAGG